rnacentral:rRNA from 1 species
UACGUAGGCAGCAAGCGUUGUUCGGAGUUACUGGGCGUAAAGGGUGUGUAGGCGGUUCCUUAAGUUUGCUGUGAAAUCUCCCGGCUUAACCGGGAGGGUGCGGUGAAUACUGAGGGACUAGAGUACGGGAGAGGAAAGUGGAAUUCCUGGUGUAGCGGUGAAAUGCGUAGAUAUCGGGAGGAACACCAGUAGCGAAGGCGGCUCGCUGGGCCAUUCCUGACGCUGAGACGCGAAAAGCUAGGGGGAGCGAACAGG